GACGAACGCUGGCGGCGUGCUUAACACAUGCAAGUCGAACGGAAAGGCCCUGCUUUUGUGGGGUGCUCGAGUGGCGAACGGGUGAGUAACACGUGAGUAACCUGCCCUUGACUUUGGGAUAACUUCAGGAAACUGGGGCUAAUACCGGAUAGGAGCUCCUGCUGCAUGGUGGGGGUUGGAAAGUUUCGGCGGUUGGGGAUGGACUCGCGGCUUAUCAGCUUGUUGGUGGGGUAGUGGCUUACCAAGGCUUUGACGGGUAGCCGGCCUGAGAGGGUGACCGGCCACAUUGGGACUGAGAUACGGCCCAGACUCCUACGGGAGGCAGCAGUGGGGAAUAUUGCGCAAUGGGCGGAAGCCUGAUGCAGCAACGCCGCGUGCGGGAUGACGGCCUUCGGGUUGUAAACCGCUUUCGCCUGUGACGAAGCGUGAGUGACGGUAAUGGGUAAAGAAGCACCGGCUAACUACGUGCCAGCAGCCGCGGUGAUACGUAGGGUGCGAGCGUUGUCCGGAUUUAUUGGGCGUAAAGGGCUCGUAGGUGGUUGAUCGCGUCGGAAGUGUAAUCUUGGGGCUUAACCCUGAGCGUGCUUUCGAUACGGGUUGACUUGAGGAAGGUAGGGGAGAAUGGAAUUCCUGGUGGAGCGGUGGAAUGCGCAGAUAUCAGGAGGAACACCAGUGGCGAAGGCGGUUCUCUGGGCCUUUCCUGACGCUGAGGAGCGAAAGCGUGGGGAGCGAACAGGCUUAGAUACCCUGGUAGUCCACGCUGUAAACGGUGGGUACUAGGUGUGGGGUCCAUUCCACGGGUUCCGUGCCGUAGCUAACGCUUUAAGUACCCCGCCUGGGGAGUACGGCCGCAAGGCUAAAACUCAAAGGAAUUGACGGGGCCCCGCACAAGCGGCGGAGCAUGCGGAUUAAUUCGAUGCAACGCGUAGAACCUUACCUGGGUUUGACAUGGAUCGGGAGCGCUCAGAGAUGGGUGUGCCUCUUUUGGGGUCGGUUCACAGGUGGUGCAUGGCUGUCGUCAGCUCGUGUCGUGAGAUGUUGGGUUAAGUCCCGCAACGAGCGCAACCCUUGUUCACUGUUGCCAGCACGUUAUGGUGGGGACUCAGUGGAGACCGCCGGGGUCAACUCGGAGGAAGGUGGGGAUGACGUCAAGUCAUCAUGCCCCUUAUGUCCAGGGCUUCACGCAUGCUACAAUGGCUGGUACAGAGAGUGGCGAGCCUGUGAGGGUGAGCGAAUCUCGGAAAGCCGGUCUCAGUUCGGAUUGGGGUCUGCAACUCGACCUCAUGAAGUCGGAGCCGCUAGUAAUCGCAGAUCAGCAACGCUGCGGUGAAUACGUUCCCGGGGCU
rnacentral:rRNA from 1 species